rnacentral:rRNA from 1 species
UACGUAGGGUGCGAGCGUUAAUCGGAAUUACUGGGCGUAAAGCGUGCGUAGGCGGUUCGUUAAGUGCGUCGUGAAAGCCCCGGGCUCAACCUGGGAAUGGCGAUGGAAACUGGCGGGCUGGAGUAUGGCAGAGGGGGUGGAAUUCCGCGUGUAGCAGUGAAAUGCGUAGAGAUGCGGAGGAACACCGAUGGCGAAGGCAGCCCCUGGGCCAAUACUGACGCUCAGGCACGAAGGCGUGGGGAGCAAACAGG